UGCAUUUUCUUUAUUUCCUCACUUUUAGUAUUCUACAUGGAGUAAAGCAAGAUCGAACUCCUACUGGGCCAACACAUCCAGGACUACACGUUCCCUCAGUGUGCGGGGAAUUCAUGACAUUGGAGAUUACAUUGACAGGAGACUGUAUAUGAUUGAUGGAAAUGACGUCGAGCACCCCGUGUACCAACCCCAUAAGUAUGCUUAUGAAGGAGAGAGCAGCAAAUGCCCAUCACUCGACAAACUGUCGCUGAGCAACUUGGGAGAAGACCUGCAAUUCCUGAAUGACUUGGGGCCAAAGUUCAAGACUUUGGGAUCCAUCUGU